UCCCUGGUGGCUCAGAUGGUAAAGCGUCUGUCUACAUUGCAGAAGACCUGGGUUCAAUCCCUGGUUUAGGAA
rnacentral:tRNA from 1 species